rnacentral:ncRNA from 2 species
GGGGAAGAUGGUGCAAUUCCAUCACGGUGCCGCCACUGUAAGCGGGGAGUGACUCUGCCACAUGCCACUGUGCGUUUCACCGCACGGGAAGGCGCAGGGAAACGAUGAUCCGCAAGUCAGGAGACCC